rnacentral:rRNA from 1 species
CACAUGCAAGUCGAGGGGCAUCAGGAACCUUGCUUGCUUUCUUUGCUGGCGACCGGCGCACGGGUGAGUAACACGUAUCCAACCUGCCCUUUACUCGGGGAUAGCCUUUCGAAAGAAAGAUUAAUACCCGAUAGCAUAAUGAUUCCGCAUGGUUUCAUUAUUAAAGGAUUCCGGUAAAGGAUGGGGAUGCGUUCCAUUAGGUUGUUGGAGAGGUAACGGCCCACCAAGCCUUCGAUGGAUAGGGGUUCUGAGAGGAAGGUCCCCCACAUUGGAACUGAGACACGGUCCAAACUCCUACGGGAGGCAGCAGUGAGGAAUAUUGGUCAAUGGACGCUAGCCUGAACCAGCCAAGUAGCGUGAAGGAUGAAGGCUCUAUGGGUCGUAAACUUCUUUUAUAUAAGAAUAAAGUGCAGUAUGUAUACUGUUUUGUAUGUAUUAUAUGAAUAAGGAUCGGCUAACUCCGUGCCAGCAGCCGCGGUAAUACGGAGGAUCCGAGCGUUAUCCGGAUUUAUUGGGUUUAAAGGGAGCGUAGGUGGACUGGUAAGUCAGUUGUGAAAGUUUGCGGCUCAACCGUAAAAUUGCAGUUGAUACUGUCAGUCUUGAGUACAGUAGAGGUGGGCGGAAUUCGUGGUGUAGCGGUGAAAUGCUUAGAUAUCACGAAGAACUCCGAUUGCGAAGGCAGCUCACUGGACUGCAACUGACACUGAUGCUCGAAAGUGUGGGUAUCAAACAGGAUUAGAUACCCUGGUAGUCCACACAGUAAACGAUGAAUACUCGCUGUUUGCGAUAUACAGUAAGCGGCCAAGCGAAAGCAUUAAGUAUUCCACCUGGGGAGUACGCCGGCAACGGUGAAACUCAAAGGAAUUGACGGGGGCCCGCACAAGCGGAGGAACAUGUGGUUUAAUUCGAUGAUACGCGAGGAACCUUACCCGGGCUUAAAUUGCAGUGGAAUGAUGUGGAAACAUGUCAGUGAGCAAUCACCGCUGUGAAGGUGCUGCAUGGUUGUCGUCAGCUCGUGCCGUGAGGUGUCGGCUUAAGUGCCAUAACGAGCGCAACCCUUAUCUUUAGUUACUAACAGGUUAUGCUGAGGACUCUAGAGAGACUGCCGUCGUAAGAUGUGAGGAGGGUGGGGAUGACGUCAAAUCAGCACGGCCCUUACGUCCGGGGCUACACACGUGUUACAAUGGGGGGUACAGAAGGCAGCUAGCGGGUGACCGUAUGCUAAUCCCAAAAGCCUCUCUCAGUUCGGAUCGAAGUCUGCAACCCGACUUCGUGAAGCUGGAUUCGCUAGUAAUCGCGCAUCAGCCACGGCGCGGUGAAUACGUUCCCGGGCCUUGUACACACCGCCCGUCAAGCCAUGGGAGCCGGGGGUACCUGAAGUACGUAAACGCAAGGAUCGUCCUAGGGUAAAACUGGUGACUGGC